rnacentral:rRNA from 1 species
UACGUAGGGUGCGAGCGUUAAUCGGAAUUACUGGGCGUAAAGCGUGCGCAGGCGGUCUGUUAAGACCGAUGUGAAAUCCCCGGGCUUAACCUGGGAACUGCAUUGGUGACUGGCAGGCUUUGAGUGUGGCAGAGGGAGGUAGAAUUCCACGUGUAGCAGUGAAUGCGUAGAGAUGUGGAGGAAUACCGAUGGCGAAGGCAGCCUCCUGGGCCAACACUGACGCUCAUGCACGAAAGCGUGGGGAGCAAACAGG